CAGGAGGACUGGAGAGUGUGUUGUGUCCCAUGGGAAAUGUUGCUGCUGGGAGAAGAGGAAGCAUCACAGCCCUUUGGAGCUACAACGGGGAGCAAAAGGCAGCAGCAGAGCUUUGACACCAUCCUCACACCCUGCCUUGUGCCCAGGUCUUGUACACGGUGACUUCCUUCCCUGAGAAACUCUGCACAGCAUCAGGUGUGAGCCACCAUCAGCAUUGCUUUAUGACUGCCUAUAUCUCAACACCCCAAUCUCCUCUUUCCAG